rnacentral:rRNA from 1 species
AGUGAACGCUGGCGGUAGGCCUAACACAUGCAAGUCGAACGGCAGCACAGUAAGAGCUUGCUCUUACGGGUGGCGAGUGGCGGACGGGUGAGGCAUACAUAGGAAUCUAAUUAUUCGUGGGGGAUAACGUAGGGCAACUGAUGAUAAUACCGCAUACGAUCUACGGGUGAAAGCAGGAGAUCUAUGGACCUUGCGCGAUUGAAAGAGAUGGUGCCGGGUUAGCUAGUUGGCGGGGUAAGGGCCCACCAAGGCGACGAUCCGUAGCCGACCUGAGAGGAGAAUCGGCCACACUGAAAAUAGGCAAGGUUCCGGCCUCCAAGGGGAGGCAGCAGUGGGGAAUUUGGAGCAAUGGGCGAAGCCUGAACGAGCCAUACCGCGUGGGUUAAGAAGGCCUUCGGGUUGUAAAGCCCUUUUGUUGGGAAAGAAAAGAAGCAGUUUGAAACCCUGCUGUUCUGACGGUACCCAAAGAAUAAGCACCGGCUAACUUCGGG